UUAAUAAUAUUGUAAUAUUUAACAGCUGUGGUAUUAUAACUGUACUAAGGUAGCAAAAUAAUUUGCUCUAUAAAUUGGGGCUAGAAUGAAUAGUUUGACGAAAAUUAUACUGUCUCUAUUUUAUUUAUUAGAAAUUAAUUUUUAUAGUGAGAAAGCUCAAAUGAUUUAAAGGGAUGAAAAGACCCUAUUGAACUUAUAUAUAUUGUUUAUUUGUUUAUAUAUGAUUUAUUUAUAAUUAGUUUUGGUUGGGGUGAUCAAGGAAUAAAAAUUCUAGGUUAAAAAUAACUUCCUUAAAUUAUU